UACAGAGACUGCAAGCGUUACUCGGAUUCACUGGGCGUAAAGGGAGCGCAGGCGGAACGGUGUGUCGGAUGUGAAACCUUGGGGCUCAACUCCAAGACUGCGUCCGAAACUGCCGUUCUAGGGACUCGGAGGGGCUAGUGGAAUUCCUGGUGGAGCAGUGAAAUGCGUAGAUAUCAGGAGGAACACCAACGGCGAAGGCAGCUAGCUGGACGAGAUCCGACGCUCAGGCUCGAAAGUAUGGGGAGCAAAAAGG
rnacentral:rRNA from 1 species